rnacentral:rRNA from 1 species
GAUACCCUGGUAGUCCACGCAGUAAACGAUGAACACUAAUUGUCCGGGCAGAUAGAUGCCUGGGUGAUACAGCGAAAGCGUUAAGAUUCCACCUGGGGAGUACGCCGGCAACGGUGAAACUCAAAGGAAUUGACGGGGGCCCGCACAAGCGGAAGAACAUGUGGGUUUAAUUCGAUGAUACGCGAGGGACCUUACCCCGGCUCAAACGCCGUCUGACGUAGGCUGAAAGGCUUAUUUCUUCGGACAGACGGCGAGGUGCUGCAUGGUUGUCGUCAGCUCGUGCCGUGAGUUGUCGGCUUAAGUGCGAUAACGAGCGCAACCCCUGUCGACAGUUGCUAACAGGUUAGGCUGAGGACUCUGUCGAGACUGCCGGCGCAAGCGGUGAGGUAGGGCGGGGAUGACGUCAAAUCAGCACGGCCCUUACGUCCGGGGCGACACACGUGUUACAAUGGCAGGUAC